rnacentral:rRNA from 1 species
CAGAGGUCCCGAGCGUUGUUCGGAUUCACUGGGCGUAAAGGGUGCGUAGGUGGUGAGGUAAGUCGGAUGUGAAAUCUCCGGGCUCAACCCGGAAACUGCAUUGGAAACUACCUUGCUUGAGGUUUUGAGGGGGGGACUGGAAUUCUCGGUGUAGCAGUGAAAUGCGUAGAUAUCGAGAGGAACACCAGUGGCGAAGGCGAGUCCCUGGAAAACACCUGACACUGAGGCACGAAAGCUAGGGGAGCAAACAGGAUUAGAUACCCUGGUAGUCCUAGCCCUAAACGGUGCUUGCUUGCUGUAAGUGGAAUCGACCCCACUUGUGGCGGAGCUAACGCGUUAAGCAAGCCGCCUGGGAAGUACGGUCGCAAGAUUA